GGACCUGUGGCGCAGCGGUAGCGCGUAAGAUUCCAGUCACGUGACUUUAAGUGUUGAAUCACGUGGAGCUUCCUUAAGGUCAUCCGUUCAAAUCGGGUCAGGUUCA